rnacentral:tRNA from 6 species
GGAGAGGUGUCAGAGUGGCCGAUCGUACAGCUUUGCUAAAGCUGCGUACCGCAAGGUACCGCGGGUUCGAAUCCCGCCCUCUCCG